CUUGGGGCGGGAAUCGUAGACUUGGAGGUCAGACUUUUCCUGCGAGUCUUCAGCUGUGCUGUUACUUCACCCACAUUUGUGCUCCAUACAGGAUGACAUCCUUACGACUUCUGCCACUUUUGAGAAGUAAAAAGGAAACGCAUUGCACCAUGGAAGCCACAUGUAAUCUGAAGAUCGUCCUGCUAAUGGAAUCAGCAAGGGGAAUGAAUGAAGGGCAUCAAUCUGUGAUGGACAGCCUGAUGCAUCCCAGUUAUAACGCGGAGUCUUGACAGUGGCGUCAGAAAUACACGAGGUAACAGUGGUCCCCAGCAUGCAGGAAGUCUACAAAGACAGGUGGCGUCCAUGCAAAUUAAUGAAGUGCAGUGCCAUGUAGCAGGAUGGGCCCAGACUUGGGCCAGAUAGCCGUGGACGCCAUUGUGUGACCUCGAAUGUCAACAUCCCCAUCUGCAAAGUGAAACAGGUGGCUGCUGAAGGUCCCUCCAGCUCUAAAGAUGAAUUCUUGCAGCAUCUGGGAAAUCAGAUUAUAAUCUCUGAAUUUGAAAACACGCUGUGUCCACUGGGAGGCAGUAACAGUCUGCGUUUGCAUCCACUGCUCUUUGAGCAGAUGCCUUAUCUUAUUAGCUGUAAAUUAAUGGAAAAGGGGGGUGCAUGAGAUAAAGAAUCUCUUCUCAGUUUUACCCCAAAUA